UUGACUUUGAAAAUCUGGAUCAACCCCACACCAAGUCUCGCUCCUCGCUUUUCAGCUCUGGAAAAAAAAAAAAAAAAAAAAAAAAAGGGUGGUUGAGCUACUACGUGAGCCUGCGCCACGUCCAAGGGCAUUUAAAAUUCCGCAGCGAUUUGGCGAGAAUUCCAAGUUUUUUUCUGAUGCGUAUGCGUGCAUGCAUGCGUGCAUGCACUGCAUGCUGGGAACGCUCGUCUUCAUUUUUGCAUCAACGCGGAUCCAACGGUGUGCUGCCGCACGAAGCCGGAGACAUACGCGGGACUAUCACAAUUAUGCGGAAAUACAUCACUUAUCCCCAUGAUUGUUGAUAUUGCAACUUUCCCCGGUCGGCGAAGAUGGAGAAUUUAGCAUUUGUCACGGCGUUGAUGAUGUUGGCUUUAUGGAUUUAGCUGUCGAACUCCUGUGGCUUGCUUGCGACGGAGACCGGAGGAUUAUCCUCAAGUUCAGGGGUUGAUGGUGGAGGAAAUGGAGGAAAUGGGGAG
rnacentral:sRNA from 1 species